GACAGAGGAUGCAAGCGUUAUCCGGAAUGAUUGGGCGUAAAGCGUCUGUAGGUGGCUUUUUAAGUCCGCCGUCAAAUCCCAGGGCUCAACCCUGGACAGGCGGUGGAAACUACCAAGCUGGAGUACGGUAGGGGCAGAGGGAAUUUCCGGUGGAGCGGUGAAAUGCGUAGAGAUCGGAAAGAACGCCCGUGGCGAAAGCGAGGUCCUGGACGUUUUCUGACGCUGAGACGCGAAAGCCAGGGGAGCAAACGGG
rnacentral:rRNA from 1 species